GAAGGGGUUUUCUUUUUUGAGACAAGGUCUUCAAUGUAGCCCAGGCUGACCUUGAAAUCAAUAUGCAACCAAAGAUGACUCUGACCUGAACCUUUUGUCUUCACCUCUCAAGUCAAAUUGGUUUGAUUUAGAGAUAAUUAAAAACACUCAAGCCGGGCGUGGUGGCGCACGCCUUUAAUCCCAGCACUCAGAAAGCAGAGGCAGGCAGAUUUCUGAGUUUAAGGCCAGCCUGGUCUACAAAGUGAGUUCCAGGACAGCCAGGGCUACACAGAGAAACCCUGUCUCGAAAAAACAAACAAAAAACCAAAAACCAACCAACCAAACAAACAAACAAAAAAACCACUCCUGGGUUGGGGAUUUAGCUCAGUGGUAGAGCUCUUGCCUAGCAAACACAAGGCACUCAGCUUGUCCUCAGCUCCGAACCAAAACAAACAAACAAAAAACCCAAAAUUCUCAAUUAAAUAGUUGUCAUGAUUGUACAACCUUGUGAAUAUACUAAAUUGUGUAUUUUUCCUUUUCUUAGCCUUUUUCUAGACAAAAAUUAUGUAUUUUAAAAAUGAAUUUUAUUCAGGUAAAUAGUAUAUAUUUAUAAUCCCAGCUACUCCUCAGGCUGAGGCAGGAGGAUUAUUUGAGUCUAGGAAUUCAAAGCUAACCUGGGCAGAGUUUCUCUAAAAACAAAUAAAUUAAAAAUAAAUUAAAAGUGAAUUGUAGCGUGCAAACUCUGUUUCACACAAAAAAGUCCUAGCACUGAAAACAAACAUAUAACAAUAUGUGUUUGAGUUUAUAAAUUCUCACCGUGUAAUUAUUAGUCUUAGGCCAAAUGGCUUUUGGGCUAUACUAGUAAAAUCUUAUGUAACUAGAAAAGUGGCACACAUCUUUAGUAUCAGCACUCAGGAGGCAGAGGCAGGUCAGUUCAUGGCCAACCUGGUCUACUACAUAAUGAGUUCCAGGACAGCCAGGGCUGCUGAGAAACCAUCUCC
rnacentral:lncRNA from 1 species